AAACUCUGAAAAGCGAGCUGAUGCUCGCGCCGAUGGUGUAAGUUCGCCGAAACAAGGUGAGCGAAUCUCUCAGGCCAAUGACAGAGGGGGUGCC
rnacentral:ncRNA from 1 species